rnacentral:rRNA from 1 species
GAUGAACGCUGGCGGCGUGCCUAAUACAUGCAAGUCGAGCGAACAGACGAGGAGUUUGCUCCUCUGACGUUAGCGGCGGACGGGUGAGUAACACGUGGAUAACCUACCUAUAAGACUGGGAUAACUUCGGGAAACCGGAGCUAAUACCGGAUAAUAUAUUGAACCGCAUGGUUCAUUAGUGAAAGACGGUUUUGCUGUCACUUAUAGAUGGAUCCGCGCCGCAUUAGCUAGUUGGUAAGGUAACGGCUUUCCAAGGCUACGAUGCGUAGCCGACCUGAGAGGGUGAUCGGCCACACUGGAACUGAGACACGGUCCAGACUCCUACGGGAGGCAGCAGUAGGGAAUGUUCCGCAAUGGGCGAAAGCCUGACGGAGCAACGCCGCGUGAGUGAUGAAGGUCUUCGGAUCGUAAAACUCUGUUAUUAGGGAAGAACAAAUGUGUAAGUAACUAUGGACGUCUUGACGGUACCUAAUCAGAAAGCCACGGCUAACUACGUG